UACGGGGGGGGCAAGCGUUGUUCGGAAUUACUGGGCGUAAAGGGCUCGUAGGCGGCCAACUAAGUCGGAUGUGAAAUCCCCAGGCUCAACCUGGGAACUGCAUCCGAUACUGGAUGGCUUGAAUUCGGGAGAGGGAUGCAGAAUUCCAGGUGUAGCGGUGAAAUUCGUAGAUAUCGAGAGGAACACCGGUGGCGAAGGCGGCCUUCUGGACAGUGACUGACGCUGAGACGCGAAAGCGUGGGGAGCAAACAGG
rnacentral:rRNA from 1 species